rnacentral:rRNA from 1 species
UGUUAAUAAUUUAUAUAUAGAAUAUUUUGAAAGWUAUUUUUAUAUAAUAUUAACAUAAUUCAUAUUACUAUAUUUUUUUAGUAUAUGAAAUUUUACUUUGAGAAAAUUAGAGUGCUUAAAGCAGGCAUAUGCCUUGAAUACUCCAGCAUGGAAUAAUAUUAAAGAUUUUUAUCUUUCUUAUUGGUUCUAAGAUAAGAAUAAUGAUUAAUAGGGACAGUUGGGGGCAUUUGUAUUUAACAGUCAGAGGUGAAAUUCUUAGAUUUGUUAAAGACAAACUAAUGCGAAAGCAUUUGCCAAGGAUGUUUUCAUUAAUCAAGAACGAAAGUUAGGGGAUCGAAGACGAUCAGAUACCGUCGUAGUCUUAACCAUAAACUAUGCCAACUAGAGAUUGGAGGUUGUU